rnacentral:rRNA from 1 species
UACGUAGGGCGCAAGCGUUAUCCGGAAUUAUUGGGCGUAAAGAGCUCGUAGGCGGUUUGUCGCGUCUGCCGUGAAAAGUCCGGGGGCUCAACUCCGGAUCUGCGGUGGGUACGGGGCAGACUAGAGUGAUGUAGGGGGAGACUGGAAUUCCUGGUGUAGCGGUGAAAAUGCGCAGAUAUCAGGAAGAACACCAAUGGCGAAGGCAGCUCUCUGGGACGUGACUGACGCUGAGACGCGAAAGCGUGGGGGAGCAAACAGG